UACAGAGGGUGCGAGCGUUGUUCGGAAUUAUUGGGCGUAAAGCGCGUGUAGGCGGUCUGUUAUGUCGGGUGUGAAAGCCCUCAGCUUAACUGAGGAAGUGCGCCCCGAAACUGGCAGACUUGAGUGCCGGAGAGGAUAGCGGAACACCCGGUGUAGAGGUGAAAUUCGUAGAUAUCGGGAGGAACACCAGUGGCGAAGGCGACUACCUGGCCUGUUCUUGACGCUGAGGCGCGAAAGCUAGGGGAGCAAACGGG
rnacentral:rRNA from 1 species